rnacentral:tRNA from 1 species
AGUAAAAUCAGCUAAUCAAGCUAUAGGGCUCAUGACCCUAAAAUGUUGGACGCCCCUCCUUUUACUA